rnacentral:rRNA from 1 species
GACGAACGCUGGCGGCGUGCUUAACACAUGCAAGUCGAGCGAUGAACCCGGAGCUUGCUCCGGCGGAUUAGUGGCGAACGGGUGAGUAACACGUGAGUAACCUGCCCUUGACUCUGGGAUAACUGCGGGAAACUGUAGCUAAUACCGGAUACGACCCUCGGCGGCAUCGCCAGGGGGUGGAAAGAAUCUCGGUCAAGGAUGGACUCGCGGCCUAUCAGCUAGUUGGUGAGGUAACGGCUCACAAGGCGACGACGGGUAGCCGGCCUGAGAGGGUGACCGGCCACACUGGGACUGAGACACGGCCCAGACUCCUACGGGAGGCAGCAGUGGGGAAUAUUGCACAAUGGGCGCGAGCCUGAUGCAGCAACGCCGCGUGAGGGAUGACGGCCUUCGGGUUGUAAACCUCUUUUAGUAGGGAAGAAGCGAAAGUGACGGUACCUGCAGAAAAAGCACCGGCUAACUACGUGCCAGCCGCCGCCGUAA